UCAGAUCAGAUGCACACAGACACCAGGACUGACGAGGAAGAAAUGAGCAGCUUCUUCUCUCCCAGUGUUUCCUCCACACCUGAAGGUGGAAAGUGUCUGUAAGUGACCUGAGGUGAGUUCAGCAGGUGUGAGCUCUGCUAUGAAUCAGAGUGAGGACAGAGAGGAGGGAGUCCCUCCCUCUAAAAGCUCUCUGUGUGGGGAACAUGACAGCCAGACCAAAGCUCAGAGCCCACAACACACUCUGAGACCAGACUCUGCUGGACCUGGACCUGGACCUGGACCUGGACCUGGACCUGGAUCCAGCUGUGUGUCCAUGAAGA